GACGAACGCUGGCGGCGUGCUUAACACAUGCAAGUCGAACGGAAAGGCCCUGCUUUUGUGGGUUGCUCGAGUGGCGAACGGGUGAGUAACACGUGAGUAACCUGCCCUUGACUUUGGGAUAACUUCAGGAAACUGGGGCUCAUACCGGAUAUGAGCUCCUGCUGCAUGGUGGGGGUUGGAAAGUUUCGGCGGUUGGGGAUGGACUCGCGGCUUAUCAGCUUGUUGGUGGGGUAGUGGCUUACCAAGGCUUUGACGGGUAGCCGGCCUGAGAGGGUGACCGGCCACAUUGGGACUGAGAUACGGCCCAGAAUCCUACGGGAGGCAGCAGGGGGGAAUAUUGCACAAUGGGCGGAAGCCUGAUGCAGCAACGCCGCGUGCGGGAUGACGGCCUUCGGGUUGUAAACCGCUUUCGCCUGUGACGAAGCGUGAGUGACGGUAAUGGGUAAAGAAGCACCGGCUAACUACGUG
rnacentral:rRNA from 1 species